AAAGGCUUGCAGAAACCCAGAGAAGAACAUCUUGGUAGUUUAUCAUGUGACAUGUAUCCCUGGAGGAAAAGCCUGGAGACCCAUUUUAACAGAAAGGCAGGGUGAGUGACUUCCUGAGAGCGCUUUGAGAAAAUAACACUUGUUUGGAAAUGAAUUCUUCCUUAGUGUUUUCCACCAAAGGGAGGGAGGGAGAGUGGGAAAUGUGCUUAGAUUUUCCUAGUGGAAAAUGCAGGUGUUUAAAAUCAGCACUGGGCGCGCUGCUCCUGAGAAUGAGGAAUGAGUUGGUGUGCCUUUAAGAAGGGACCAGGUAUCCUUGGCAACAGGAAGUCAACAACUCCUAACAUUCCAGUACCGGCCAUCUUCUCAUUCUGCUAUUGCUACUUCCAACAGUUACUUGGCAAGCUGGCAAGCAGGGAGUUCAUUCUCUCACUUGUGACAGUGACUGAGUAAUAAGAAGUCGCUUAAAAGCUGAGUGUUGAUCACUUAAUAGUGACAGGAUUUUGAUUGAAGACUUUGAAGUUCUGUGGGGUGUUUCCCAACAUCUCUAGCCCCCUGGUCUGCCAGAACCAUCAGAAUGGCAGUACCACUGAGCCCUUCGUCCGAUCCAGCCAAUAAAAAUAAUAUGGUUGUGUGUAACCAGGCAUCGCGUUGCCGACUAGCAGAGAACCAGCGGGAAAUGCAAGAUCUGAAAGAGAUAGUUCAUCAUUUCAGCUUCCUCCUCCACCAAGAGGAAAACAAUUAUGGUGAGGGCCAAGAGGUGAUUCAAUCCAGGCUAAGGGAGAAGCCAGCACUUGGAACUCCACAGCUUGAGAAGCUGGCACCUGCUGAGUUCAAGAAAUGCCAUGUAAAUAAGGCACGCACCCGCAAGCGGCGCUGGCUACGUAAGAAGUCAAGAAAACAGACACAGAUUUGUCAUCUCAGCCUACAUCCCAGAGCCCUCCUCACCCAGCAUGACCCUGACAGCCACCACACAUGGGGCUUGCUGGAGCCACUGGUUGUUCACGUCAGGCUGGAAAAGCAUCUUGUCUACAAAUGUAGCCUGGCAAAAGAAAUGACGCAAAUGAAGGGUGGUUGCUGGGACUUAAUCUGCCCCAGCAGGAUCAGUGGGUGCUUUCCACCUCAAGUAGAGCCUGAGUUGGUACCAGGGCUGAUCAUGGGUGAAUAUUGUUGGUGCAUCAUCAUGAAAGCCACGCUGGUUAUGCAGCAGCAUUAUCCUGGUGGUGGCUGGACGAUAGUGCUGGAAGAGUACUCGUGGUGCACAAGGUUUGGAGUCUAUGGGAAUUCCCUUGAGGACAGAGUGCCACAUGAAGCCAAACCUGUAUUGUGUGAAAGCCGAUCUCUAGCUGAAGGGCAUCGCAUCAUGGCAUGCACACACCUUGCAGAUGCACCUUACAUGUGGCAUGCCUCCUGGGGGGACAAGCUGGAAAUACUGUUCCAGGCCUGGGCCAGGGUCCAGCAGCCCUUAGCCCAGCAGUCCAUCCACUGGAUAGAGGCCAUUGAGGGGUAUGAUACCUCCUCCCAAAAGGAUGAAGUGGUAUCUGCAGACAGAGCUGAGGUUAUCCCCAGGGUGUGUGGAGAUCCACCCCCACUGGAAGGGCCAGAUACCAUCGUGCCCAUCCUCAAGGAAGAUGGAUCCUACCUGCUCUGUGGAUUUUGGGCUGAUGAGCCUGAAGCACCAGCCCAGGCCUGGUCUGAGACUGUGAAAUGUACAAUCCAGCAGCCCAUCUGCUGUGCUGAGGCCAUUGUGGUGGAAGACCUUUCCUACAAAAAGGAGGAAGGGGAGGUGGCAACUGCAGUCCAGGCUGAGCUUAUCCCCAGGGUGUGUGGAGAUCCACCCCCACUGGAAAGGCCAGAUGUCAUCCUGCCUAUCCUGAAGGAUGACGGGUCCUACAUGCUCUGUGGAUAUUGGGCUGAUGGGUCUGGAACACCAGCGCAGGUUUCUGCUGAGCCUUGGCACCUUACAACCCAGCAGCCCAUCUGCUGUGCUGAGGCCAUUGUGGUGGAAGAUGCCUCAAGCCAAAAGGAGGAAGGAGAGGUGGCAUCUCCAGACCUGGCCGAGGCAAACCCCAGGGUGUGUGGAGAUCCACCCCCACUGGAAGGGCCAGAUGUCAUCGUGCCUAUCCUCAAGGAUGAUGGGUCCUACAUGCUCUGUGGAUUUUGGGCAGAUGAUGAUGCUGAAGCUCCAAUCUGGGCCUGUGCUGGGGCCUGGCACCCUACAAUCCAGCAGCCCAUCUGCUGUGCUGAGGCCAUUGUGGUGGAAAACCCCUACCACCAAAAGGAGGAAGUGGAGUUGGCAUCUACAGACCAGGCGGAGGCUAUCCCCAGGGUGGGUGAAGAUCCACCUCCACUGGAAGGGCCAGAUGCCAUCGUGCCUGUCCUCAAGGAUGACGGGUCCUACGUGCUCUGUGCAUAUUGGGCAGAUGAACCUGAAGCACCAGACCAGGCCUGGGCUAGGGCCUGGCACUUUACAACCCGGCAACCCCUCUGCUGUGCUGAGGCCAUUGUGGUGGAAGACUCCUCAAACAAAAAGGAGAAAGUCAAGGGGGCAUCCUCAGAUCAGGCUGAGGCUAUGUCCAGGGUGGGUGAAGAUCCACCCCCACUGGAAGGGCCAGAUGUCAUCGUGCCUAUCCUCAAGGAUGAUGGGUCCUACAUGCUCUGUGGAUUUUGGGCUGAUGAGUCUGAAGCACCAGUCCAGGCCUGUGCUGAGCUCUGGCACCUUGCAACCCAGAAGCCCAUUUGCUGUGCUGAAGCCAUUGCAGUGGAAGAGCCCUCCUGCAAAAAGGAGGAAGGGGACUCAGCAUCUGCAGAGCAGGCCGAGGCUAUACCCAGGUAAGUCGGCAGAUGGGGUGGGGGUUAUUUAUUAUGGACUCCUGGAGAUGGCAGACAUGGGGAGGAGAGAAUGUGCCCCAUAAGCAAUAUUUACCAUUCAAAGCUCCUCCCAUGAAUAUUCUGCGAGUACCUCUUCAAAGUUCCAUGUGGUGAGGCUGGCCCCAGGGGUCUGGGAGAGGGACACCAGAGCCCUCUGCUCCUAGAAUGCUUUCUGGCCUUCUAUUGACAGUGACCUCUCCUUCUGUCCUCCCAUCCCAUCCUCUCUGCAUCCUGCUGUGUCUGCCCAAUCCUGUGAAGGGUCUCUUUGUCUGGACAAGGGGAGGAUCUAGAUCAGAUGGCUCUUAGAGAGUGCUCCUGUCCCUAUUGGUGAAAGACUCUUUCUGAGAGCUAGGAAGGGUUAGCAGUGCUGGGCUGCAACUGAGUGACUUUGUGUUAAGCCCUCAUCUUUUCCUCCCCUCUUGUCCUGCCCUCUGCAUUCACACCUCAGGGUGUGUGGAGAUCCACCCCCACUGGAAGGGCCAUAUGCCAUCGUGCCUAUCCUCAAGGAAGAUGGAUCCUACCUGCUCUGUGGAUAUUGGGCUGAUGAGCCUGAAGCACCAGUCCAGGCCUGGGCUGGGGCCUGGCACUUUACAACCCAGCAGCCCAUCUGCAGUACUGAGGACACUUUGGGUGAGUCCAUUGAUAAGAUUCUUGUUGCAGAUAUGAUAAACCUAUGAGCAU
ensembl:lncRNA